CAGAAGCAGCACAGACUGGACCAGGUGACCAUGAGAUGCAAGAGGAAGUCAAAAGGAACUGAUAUAUUGAUGCAAAGCUUAAGAAAGAGUACUAGGAAAGCAGUUCUGGGCCAUCAGAGGAAAUGAGGUGCAAGCAGGUUAUCCAGGAGGCAUCCACACCCGGGGUUUUUCUCCAGCCAUAAGGAAAAUGGAUGCAGCUGUUUCUGAUAAGGAAAAGAAAACAUACUUCUUUGUAGAGGACAAAUACUGGAGAUUUGACGAAAACAGCCAGUCCAUGGAGCAAGGUUUCCCCAGACGGUUAGCAGAUGAUUUUCCAGGAGAUGAGCCGAAGGUUGAUGCUGUAUUAGAGGCAUGUGGUACAAAGACACUCGUUUCAUUGCCAAUGGGGACACAUUGGGGCAUUUUAUAUCAAAAUGAUUUGGAGAAUCAAAACUAUUGCAAACUACUCGGUCUUAUGUCUUUUUAAGCCAAAUUAUUGAAAACUUUGACUUUCUAAUUUAUGCAGAUUAGAUUAAAAUUUGUUUUUCUUG